AGUCUUGACAAGCCUCAUGCUUAGAGAGCAAACGGAGUCUUUCUUCUAAUUUGUUCAAACAAAGCACAAGUUGCUCCCUUUCACUCUCCAAAUCAAGCAAGGGGCUCCCGUUAUCUAUGUUAUCCACUCCCAAUGGUGUCAAGACCUCACCACUUCUACUGCUGCUGGUGGUAUUAUGAGCAAUUACGUCGCCAUGAACAGCUGAACAGUCAUCACUGCACAUUGUAUCAGCUUGCUUAGCUUUAUUUGAAUCAUAACUUGCCUCGAGUGCAUCCUCAAAGAGAGCCAUAUUCCCAAGUUUCUUCUUGUAAAGUUCAAGUUUAGUUUCAAAAUCUUGGAUCUCCUUCUCCUUCUGCGCAAGAAGAUCAUUUGCAUUCUGCAGUGCUUCACUGUCAUAUUCAGCUUGUUCUUCCAUCAUUCUUAGGCACUGCAAAGCUUCCAUGUGUAGUGCUGCCUUCUCCUCUUGCAAUCUUGUAAUCAUUGCCAUCGCCUGAUUUGCAGCGACUGAGGAUGCAUUUCUCUCUUCCUCCAACUCUCUAUAGAGAGCAGCCAUUAAUUUU
rnacentral:misc_RNA from 1 species